GAUGAACGCUGGCGGCGGGCCUAAUACAUGCAAGUCGAGCGGACAGAUGAGGAUUUUGCUCCUCUGACGUUAGGGACGGAUGAGUGAGUACCACGUGGAUAACCUACCUAGGAGACUGGGAUAACUUCGCGAAACCGGAGCUCACAUCGGAUAAGAUAUUGAACCUCAUGGAUCAAUAGUGAAAGACGUUUUUGCUGUCACUAAUAGAUGGAUCCGGGCUGGUGUAGCUAGUUGGUACGGUAACGGCCUACCAAGGCGAGGAUGCGUAGCCGAACUGAGAGGGUGAUAGGCCACACUAGAAGUGAGACACGGUCCAGACUCCUACGGGAGGCAGCAGUGGGGAAUGUUCGGCAAUGGGCGAAAGCCUGACGCAGCAAGGCCGCGUGUGUGAUGAAGGUCUUCGGAUCGUAAAACACUCUUAUUAGGGGUGAACAGAUGUCUAAGUAUCCAUACCUGUCUUGACGGUACCUAAUAAAAAAGCAACGGCUAACUACGUG
rnacentral:rRNA from 1 species